AGUGUAAUUCGACACUACCAGACCAUUACCAGACCACGUGGUGAGAAGGAAGAGCAUUCCAGAACUGUGUAUCGUAGUGAGAGCAGACUGAGCAAGCAACUGAUCUACGGUUGUAUGAAAGAGUCGAAUGGACAAUGCAAAUCAUUAAAAAGUCCAUCAUGGCAAAGACAUCUGACAUUCAAGAAGAGACAAUCCUUUUUGUUUCUAGCAGUUCUGACGGUGACAAUACUGAUGAUUGACUGUUCUAAGGAAGGUCUACAGAGUUAAGAAGAUCUACAGAUUUGACAACCAAUGUAUAGCCAAUUUAACAAUACUCAAGGGUUCCCAGACAUAAUUAAGAAGAAAAGAGAAAUUGAU